rnacentral:rRNA from 1 species
GACGAACGCUGGCGGCGCGCUUAACACAUGCAAGUCGAACGGAAAGGCCUGCUUUCCCUUGUGGAUUGCGGGUACUCGAGUGGCGAACGGGUGAGUAACACGUGAGUGAUCUGCCCCCAACUUGGGUAUAAGCCUGGGAAACUGGGUCUAAUUCCCGAUAGGACUGCAGGGUGGUGCCUGUGUGGAAAACGAUUUUCUAGUGGUUGGGGAUGAGCUCGCGGCCUAUCAGCUUGUUGGUGGGGUAAUGGCCUACCAAGGCGGCGACGGGUAGCCGGCCUGAGAGGGUGGACGGCCACAUUGGGACUGAGAUACGGCCCAGACUCCUACGGGAGGCAGCAGUGGGGAAUAUUGCACAAUGGGCGGAAGCCUGAUGCAGCGACGCCGCGUGGGGGAUGACGGCCUUCGGGUUGUAAACUCCUUUCGACCGCGAGGAAGCCACCUGGUUGGAAGGGUGGUGACGGUAGUGGUAGAAGAAGCACCGGCUAACUACGUG